rnacentral:rRNA from 1 species
GAUGAACGCUAGCGGCAGGCCUAAUACAUGCAAGUCGAACGGUGUAGCAAUACACAGUGGCGCACGGGUGCGUAACACGUAUGCAACCCACCUAUUAUUGGGGGAUAGCCUUUGGAAACGGAGAUUAAUACCGCAUAAGACAGUGACAUGGCAUCAUGUAGCUGUUAAAGCUUUGGCGAUAAUAGAUGGGCACGCGUCCAAUUAGUUAGUUGGUGAGGUAAUGGCUCACCAAGAAGAUGAUUUGUAGGGGAUCUGAGAGGAUAAUCCUCAACACUGGCACUGAGAAACGGGCCAGACUCCAAUGGGAGGCAGCAGUAGGGAAUAUUGGGCAAUGGACGGAAGUCUGACCCAGCCAUGCCGCGUGCAGGAUGACGGCGUUAUGCGUUGUAAACUGCUUUUUUAUAGGAAGAAGAUGCCCUUGCGAGGGAAAGUGACGGUACUAUAAGAAUAAGCACCGGCUAACUCCGUGCCAGCAGCCGCAGUAA